AACGAACGCUGGCGGCAGGCUUAACACAUGCAAGUCGAACGCAUCCUUCGGGGUGAGUGGCAGACGGGUGAGUAACGCGUGGGAACGUGCCCUUCAGUUCGGGAUAACCCAGGGAAACUUGGGCUAAUACCGGAUACGUGCGAGAGCAGAAAGAUUUAUCGCUGAAGGAUCGGCCCGCGUCUGAUUAGCUAGUUGGUGGGGUAAUGGCCCACCAAGGCGACGAUCAGUAGCUGGUCUGAGAGGAUGAUCAGCCACAUUGGGACUGAGACACGGCCCAAACUCCUACGGGAGGCAGCAGUGGGGAAUAUUGGACAAUGGGCGAAAGCCUGAUCCAGCAAUGCCGCGUGAGUGAUGAAGGCCUUAGGGUUGUAAAGCUCUUUUACCCGGGAUGAUAAUGACAGUACCGGGAGAAUAAGCUCCGGCUAACUCCGUGCCAGCCGCCGCCGUAA
rnacentral:rRNA from 1 species